UAUUUUAUAUAACUAUUUCCAUUUAUUUUUUCUGAUCCUCAAGGAUGCAAGGAAAUGNGCGUGUCUUGUGAAGCAGGAACUCCUUGGUUAUUUGGUCGGUCCUCCAAAGGAUAGAUGAGUUCGGAUGCCUAGAGAGGCAGGAAAAAGCUCGUGGUCGUGCUCAUGGUGGUGAAUCUCGGAUGUUCUUCCGCUGCGGAGAGGAUCCCACUGAGCCGAACUGGAAAGCAUCUGAGAGACAAGAAAAGCAGCAGUAGGUACAGCAAUUCCAUGCUCGCUUCUCUGAAAAUGUCGUUCUAUGAAACAGGAAUAGAAAUGCUAAAAAUGAACAGGUGAAAAGGAUGUAAGAAAUGGGCGUGUCUAUGCCGCAGGAAUCCAUGGUUAUUUGGUCGGUCCUCCAAGGCAUAGCUGAGUUCCGAUGCCUAGACAGGCAGGAAAAGCUCGUGGUCGGGCACAUGGUGAUAACAAAUCCCGGAUGCUCUUCCGGUGCGGACAGGAUUCUACUGAGUCAAAUUGAAAAGGUGGUGAGAGACUAGAAAAGCAGCAGUNNGUACAGCAAAUCCAUGCUGGCUUCUCUGAAAAUGUCGAUCUAUGAAACAGGAAUCGAGAAACNAUAUAAAUGUAUGGAAUGUGGAAAGAAGUUCAGAGGAAGUGGUGAUCUUAAAAGACAUCACAGAACCCACACAGGGGAGAAACCAUAUAAAUGUAUGGAAUGUGGAAAGAGCUUCAUCACUA
rnacentral:lncRNA from 1 species